rnacentral:rRNA from 1 species
AGUGAACGCUGGCGGUAGGCCUAACACAUGCAAGUCGAACGGCAGCACAGUAAGCGCUUGCUCUUACGGGUGGCGAGUGGCGGACGGGUGAGGAAUACAUCGGAAUCUACUUUUUCGUGGGGGAUAACGUAGGGAAACUUACGCUAAUACCGCAUACGACCUACGGGUGAAAGCAGGGGAUCUUCGGACCUUGCGCGAUCGAAUGAGCCGAUGUCGGAUUAGCUAGUUGGCGGGGUAAAGGCCCACCAAGGCGACGAUCCGUAGUUGGUCUGAGAGGAUGAUCAGCCACACUGGAACUGAGACACGGUCCAGACUCCUACGGGAGGCAGCAGUGGGGAAUAUUGGACAAUGGGCGCAAGCCUGAUGCAGCAAUACCGCGUGGGUGAAGAAGGCCUUCGGGUUGUAAAGCCCUUUUGUUGGGAAAGAAAAGCAGCAGGUUAAUACCCCGCUGUUCUGACGGUACCCAAAGAAUAAGCACCGGCUAACUUCGUG